CGCGGCCGGAGCAGCGCCCGCGGCUCCCGCGGCCAAGGAGGAGCCGCAGGAGCCGGGACGGCACGGAGCGGCGGAGGGGCUGCGGGAGAGCCCAGAGGAGGGAUGCGGAGGGAUGCGAGACCCCCGUACCGCUCCCCGAGAGCCGUGCUGGUGCUGCGGCCCCGCAGCGGGGGUGCUCGCCGUGCGGCUGGACAGAGGGCUGCGGACGGGCUGCCCGACACCGCCCGGCAGGUCACGGCCAGCCCUGGCGUCGUAAGGCGAGCGCCGGGGUUACGAAGGUAUGGAGACACUCUUGGACACUCUGAAUUUCAGGAAUCCCCUUGAGCCACCACAUACCAGAAGCCACCACAUCCUUAGAAGAUCCGUGAGGCUGUUCUAUCUUUCAGAGUUUUCUCUGCAUGGAUGUCAUACUUACUCAGCCUUAACCGAUUCAAAUGAAGUUCUUCUACACAUGAAUCUGCACAGUCAGUGGGGAAGUACUCAAAGUAAGGCUGGUGAAGCCAGUCACAGGUUCUGA
rnacentral:lncRNA from 1 species